rnacentral:rRNA from 1 species
GGUUUUUUGUGUUAAUGGAAAAUCUAACCUGCCCAAUGAGGUUUUCAAUGGCCGCAGUAUUUUGACUGUGCUAAGGUAGCAUAAUCAUUAGUCUUGUAAUUUAAGACUGGAAUGAAAGGUUGGACGAAGGAAUAGCUGUCUUUAUGAUAUUUUAUUGAAAUUAAUGGUGUUGUGAAAAGGCAACUAAUUAGCUGAGGGACGAGAAGACCCUAUUGAGUUUAAUGAAUUUGUUAUGUUGUAGUUAUAGGUUUGUAAUUUGGCAUAAGUAGGUUUAUUUCGCUGGGGCGGUGUUGAAAGAUAAAUAUCUUUUAAAUAAAUUAGUAGUGAGAUGUAUUUUGAGCCAGGUAAAAUUAGUUGAUAAUGAGAUCAAAUUACUGUAGGGAUAACAGCGUAAUAUUAUUGGAGAGUUCUUAUUGAUAAUGAAUUUUGCGACCUCGAUGUUGAAUUAAAAUUUCUAUUUGGUGAAGAAGCUAAAUUAGGUAGUCUGUUCGACUAUUAAAUUUUUACA